CUUUCUCCCUUCUUGUCUCUCUCUUAUCUCUGCAAAUCUCCCCUCUCUAAGCCCAACAUACACAACAACAACAACAACACCCACCACCAUUGUCAUCAACUUAGCCACCAUUGGGCCUUUGUCGCUCUCUGAUCUCCCUCAUCUCUCCUCCUUGUAUGUGCACGCUGCACAAUAAAGCAGAAACCACAUGUCAUCAUCGACGAGAACCGACGAAAACAACUCGGGGAAACAUUUCCCAAAUUUUUCGACGAGGUCCAACAGCUUUCGAGCCAUUUUUCGACCAACUCCGGCGAUAGCUAGCCACGAGAUAGGAGCAUCGGUGGAAAGUGAGCUUGUCCUCGCUAGUUUGAGCAGUUCCCAUGCAAUGGCAUAUUUUAGUGUACAACAUAUGUUGCCUGUGUGUGGAGAUAAAAAUGGAAGUAUGAAUAGCCGCCAUUAAAAUCAAGGGAACUUUAACGAAAAGCUCCCGGUACUAUUCACUUUAACGAAAAACCACAUUUUUACUCUAAAAAAUCAAUCCUGAUACUAUUCACUUACAACACGUUUUUGUCCUUUUUGUUAAAACUCAAAGUUUUUAAGUCAUUUUCAUUAGUUUUCCUUAAAAUCAAGGAAGGAAAAAUGAAUUAAUUAAAUUAAAAAGGAACUGUCUUAUUCUCUUAAGCCCCAAAACAAGGAAGAAUCAAAUCAAUUUAUGUAAUUGCUAAACAAUAUGAUAUAGGCAUCAACAAUAUUCAAAUGGAAUAAGGCAACAAGAUGGGUCUUACUUGUCAAAGCUGAUUCCUUUCUAGUGAUAAAUAAUGGCCACGAACAGAUGGUGGGAACAGAGGGUCACGAACCAGACGAGCAAGGGACCAUCGGAGUUACAGCAAGAGCUGCAUAUGCUAGCUUAAUGAGACAAGGAGACCAAGGCUAUCAAUUUGGGGGCUCUCUCACAUGUAAGUUUCCCCACAAAAAUUGAUUCAAUAUAAAGCCUAUUGAUUUUGGGGGCUCCCUUAAAUAAUUUGUUUUUCAUAGUUUAUUUAUGAGAUAAGAUUAAAACAAGCAAAGGUUUGUAAUUUCUUAUUCAACUCUUACAAAUGCAUUUUUUGGUAUCACAAAACUCGGCUUUGGCACGUCAUUUGAUCGCAAGGUAAACAGUACAUUGCCGCCUCGUACAGUUACAUCCUAUAUUAAAAAAAUUGAAGUCUAUCCAAAUUUGAAACGUAGAACAAAAUCUCAAAGGCCUUUGAAGAUCCUACAAGGUAUCUUUUGCAUGGGAAAGGUGAUGGAGGGCUAAUGCCACGUGGUUUGCUGCUAAAGGAUGUGAGCAAGUUGGAAAUCAUUUUAAAACUCUAUGAUGUUGCAGUCUUAAGUUUUGCUUGUGUUCAAAGCUAGGUAUGUUUAAACUUCUUUUUUAUCAUUUAUUUUUCUAUAAAAUUCAAUGUUUGAAAUAUAAGCACAAUUCAUAGACACAAAAACCCCAAGAAAAUGACCCUAUUUCUUAUUAAAAAAAAAGACUAUGUUUCUUCCUAAUCAUAAUGUGUAAUUUAGUUUCU